rnacentral:lncRNA from 1 species
UUCUUUCUUUUUUUUUUUCCUCGCCUCGAAAAGGGGGGCUUCUCACCGCAAAAAAGAGAGGGGGGAGGGAAAGGGAGGGGAGGGGGGGAAAGGGAGAGAAGCGUGCGGGGGCUGCACGGGGGGCUGCAGCCCACAGGUUGCGGGGGGAGCAAAAAGGGGGUUGGGGGGGGGGGCCGGAGACUUCACGCACUCACUCACACGCACACGCACACUCUCCCCAAAGGGCUGGGAGGAGGCAGGUUGGGAAGGGAGCAAAGUUCCUUGCAAACCAGUGUCCUGCUCCUACUGCAUCAAGGCAGUCAGGAGAAAAAGAAUAGCAAUAAAAAAAAAAGGAGAAAAAAAAAAAAAAAAAAAAAAGGCAAAAAAAAAAAGUUUUCUGCAAAAUUAAGGGUGGUUGGUUGCAAAGUCUGCAGAGGAGCGGUAAAAACGGGGGGGAAGGAAGGGGGGAAAAAAAAUAAGAAAAGAGGUAAAAAAAUAAAAAAUCAAAAAUCCACUUUGUAGAUCUCCCAACACUUUUCCCCUGGAGAAGUUUCUAAAGAGACUGAAUACUGCAGAACAGGCUGUCUUUUAAAUAGACUGCCCCUGGCUGCCUGCCAGCCCCUAGCUGCAAUUUGAGAUCCCAAUGACACCUCAGCUUGACUGGGUGCCAGCAGCCAGGGCCCUAUCAGUGCACACUCGAGCCGGUGGGGGUGGGGUGCGCAGCUUCUGACUUCUGGGCUUCAAACCCCGGGCAGUGAUCAAGGAUAAUAUUAUGAGGAGAGACAAGGGGAGGAGGAGGAGGAGGAGGAGGAGGAGGAGG